GCCUCGGUAGUUUAGUGGUUAUAAUUUUUCACUUGUAGUGUUCUCUGCAUGAUGAAAGGGUCCUGUGUUCGACUCACAGCCGUGGCA